ACGAACGCUGGCGGCGUGCCUAAUACAUGCAAGUCGAACGAACGGAGGAAGAGCUUGCUCUUCCAAAGUUAGUGGCGGACGGGUGAGUAACACGUGGGCAACCUGCCUGUAAGUUGGGGAUAACUCCGGGAAACCGGGGCUAAUACCGAAUGAUAGAGUGUGGCGCAUGCCACGCUYUUGAAAGAUGGUUUCGGCUAUCGCUUACAGAUGGGCCCGCGGUGCAUUAGCUAGUUGGUAGGGUAAUGGCCUACCAAGGCAACGAUGCAUAGCCGACCUGAGAGGGUGAUCGGCCACACUGGGACUGAGACACGGCCCAGACUCCUACGGGAGGCAGCAGUAGGGAAUCUUCCGCAAUGGACGAAAGUCUGACGGAGCAACGCCGCGUGUAUGAAGAAGGUUUUCGGAUCGUAAAGUACUGUUGUUAGAGAAGAACAAGGAUAAGAGUAACUGCUUGUCCCUUGACGGUAUCUAACCAGAAAGCCACGGC
rnacentral:rRNA from 1 species